rnacentral:rRNA from 1 species
UACAGAGGUCCCGAGCGUUGUUCGGAUUCAUUGGGCGUAAAGGGUGCGUAGGCGGCGGGGAAAGUCUGAUGUGAAAUCCUGGGGCUCAACCCUGGAACUGCAUUGGAUACUUCCUUGCUAGAGUACUGGAGAGGAAACUGGAAUUUACGGUGUAGCAGUGAAAUGCGUAGAGAUCGUGAGGAAGACCCGUGGCGAAGGCGGAUCUCUGGACGGCUAACUGACGCUGAGGCGCGAAGGCCAGGGGAGCAAACGGG